rnacentral:rRNA from 1 species
CACGUAGGGCGCAAGCGUUGUCCGGAAUUAUUGGGCGUAAAGAGCUCGUAGGUGGUUUGUUACGUCUGCUGUGAAAACCUAGGGCUUAACCCUGGGCUUGCAGUGGAUACGGGCAGACUAGAGGUAGGUAGGGGAGAAUGGAAUUCCUGGUGUAGCGGUGAAAUGCGCAGAUAUCAGGAAGAACACCCGUGGCGAAGGCGGCUUCCUGGACCUGAUCUGACACUGAGGAGCGAAAGCGUGGGGGAGCGAUCCGG